GUGAAGCCCAGCUUGCUGGGUGGAUCAGUGGCGAACGGGUGAGUAACACGUGAGCAACCUGCCCUCCACUUCGGGAUAAGCCUUGGAAACGGGGUCUAAUACCGGAUAUGAGCUCGCAUCGCAUGGUGUGGGUUGGAAAGUUUUUCGGUGGGGGAUGGGCUCGCGGCCUAUCAGCUUGUUGGUGGGGUGAUGGCCUACCAAGGCGUCGACGGGUAGCCGGCCUGAGAGGGCGACCGGCCACACUGGGACUGAGACACGGCCCAGACUCCUACGGGAGGCAGCAGUGGGGAAUAUUGCACAAUGGGCACAAGCCUGAUGCAGCGACGCCGCGUGAGGGAUGACGGCCUUCGGGUUGUAAACCUCUUUCAGCAGGGAAGAAGCGCAAGUGACGGUACCUGCAGAAGAAGCGCCGGCUAACUACGUGCCAGCAGCCGCGGUAAUACGUAGGGCGCAAGCGUUGUCCGGAAUUAUUGGGCGUAAAGAGCUCGUAGGCGGUCUGUCGCGUCUGGUGUGAAAUCCCGAGGCUCAACCUCGGGCUUGCAUCGGGUACGGGCAGACUAGAGUGCGGUAGGGGAGACUGGAAUUCCUGGUGUAGCGGUGGAAUGCGCAGAUAUCAGGAGGAACACCGAUGGCGAAGGCAGGUCUCUGGGCCGCAACUGACGCUGAGGAGCGAAAGCAUGGGGAGCGAACAGGAUUAGAUAUCCUGGUAGUCCAUGCCGUAAACGUUGGGCACUAGGUGUGGGGCUCAUUCCACGAGUUCCGUGCCGCAGCUAACGCAUUAAGUGCCCCGCCUGGGGAGUACGGCCGCAAGGCUAAAACUCAAAGGAAUUGACGGGGGCCCGCACAAGCGGCGGAGCAUGCGGAUUAAUUCGAUGCAACGCGAAGAACCUUACCAAGGCUUGACAUGUACGAGAAAGCCCCCGAGACGGGGUUCUCUUUGGACACUCGUACACAGGUGGUGCAUGGUUGUCGUCAGCUCGUGUCGUGAGAUGUUGGGUUAAGUCCCGCAACGAGCGCAACCCUCGUCCUAUGUUGCCAGCGGGUUAUGCCGGGGACUCAUGGGAGACUGCCGGGGUCAACUCGGAGGAAGGUGGGGAUGACGUCAAAUCAUCAUGCCCCCUAUGUCUUGGGCUUCACGCAUGCUACAAUGGCCGGUACAGAGGGCUGCGAUACCGUAAGGUGGAGCGAAUCCCAAAAAGCCGGUCUCAGUUCGGAUUGGGGUCUGCAACUCGACCCCA
rnacentral:rRNA from 1 species